UACAGAGGUGGCAAGCGUUGUUCGGAAUUACUGGGCGUAAAGGGCGCGUAGGCGGCCAUCUAAGUCAGACGUGAAAUCCCCCGGCUUAACCUGGGAACUGCGUCUGAUACUGGAAGGCUUGAGUAUGGGAGAGGGAUGUAGAAUUCCAGGUGUAGCGGUGAAAUGCGUAGAUAUCUGGAGGAAUACCGGUGGCGAAGGCGGCAUUCUGGACCGGCAUUGACGCUGAGGCGCGAAGGCCAGGGGAGCAAACGGG
rnacentral:rRNA from 1 species